ACGGAAGGCAGCAGUGGGGAAUAUUGGACAAUGGGGGAAACCCUGAUCCAGCGACGCCGCGUGAGUGAAGAAGUAUUUCGGUAUGUAAAAGCUCUAUCAGCAAGGAAGAAAAUGACGGUACUUGACUAAGAAGCUCCGGCUAAAUACGUGCCAGCAGCCGCGGUAAUACGUAUGGAGCAAGCGUUAUCCGGAUUUACUGGGUGUAAAGGGAGCGUAGACGGCAAAGCAAGUCUGAAGUGAAAUCCCGGGGCUCAACCCCGGAACUGCUUUGGAAACUGUUUAGCUAGAGUGCAGGAGAGGUAAGCGGAAUUCCUAGUGUAGCGGUGAAAUGCGUAGAUAUUAGGAGGAACACCAGUGGCGAAGGCGGCUUACUGGACUGUAACUGACGUUGAGGCUCGAAAGCGUGGGGAGCAAACAGGAUUAGAUACCCUGGUA
rnacentral:rRNA from 1 species